rnacentral:rRNA from 1 species
CCUACGGGAGGCUGCAGUGAGGAAUAUUGGUCAAUGGACGAGAGUCUGAACCAGCCAAGUAGCGUGAAGGAUGACUGCCCUAUGGGUUGUAAACUGCUUUUAUAUGAGGAUAAAAUGUUCCACGUGUGGGAUGUUGUAUGUACCAUAUGAAUAAGGAUCGGCUAACUCCGUGCCAGCCGCCGCGGUAAUACGGAGGAUCCGAGCGUUAUCCGGAUUUAUUGGGUUUAAAGGGAGCGUAGGUGGAUCGUUAAGUCAGAUGUGAAAGUUUGCGGCUCAACAGUAACAUUGCAUUUGAAACUGGCAGUCUAGAGUACAGUAGAGGUAGGCGGAAUUCGUGGUGUAGCGGUGAAAUGCUUAGAUAUCACGAAGAACUCCGAUUGCGAAGGCAGCUCACUGGACUGCAACUGACACUGAGGCUCGAAAGCGUGGGUAGCAAACAGGAUUAGAUACCCUAGUAGUC